ensembl:lncRNA
UGCAGUUCCACAGUAACUUAAUAUUUCUUUCUUAUUAAUUUUCACACGUUUAUUAGUGGAAUUCUGUUACCUUUUUUAGACAUACUUUAAAUUACAACACAGAUAUAUCUAAAGCAGCUAAAUACAGCUGUAUCUAAAGCACUACAAACUCCCAAAAUCAUACAGACCAGGUUUGAAUGAACACUGCACUGCUGCUUUCAAGAAUGCUGCAAAGAUUAUAAUGUCAGAAUCUGUGUAUCUCAGCAAGAUCAUCCUAUGUCUACAACUUAAUCUAUAAUGUUUCUGAAACUGAAUAGGGAGCGGCGGCAUUGACUCCACUGAUCUAGGGGUCGGUAUUGACAGUUUAACAUCCAAAAGUGAGAAUGUAAACAUGCCGGUGUGGGUGUGACUGGAGUUCAGGUAGGCGUGUGAACAGUGCACAGGAACAAAUGCUCUGGGGAAGUGACAGGGAACAAUAGUGCCCUUUGUAACAGGCGUGACUCAUGCUUGAAGGACUAUCUUUCAUAAAAGAAAGUUCAGUCCCAUUAAAGGACACCUGAGACAGGCACAAAAAACUCACCCAGGACCACCAAAGCACUGGUCUCAACUAUGCCAGGACCUGGACUGACGCUGUACUCUUGGGAGUCUGGGAUGACCGCAGAGAGUGGACGGGUAAAGACAGGGCUGAGAGGACAUCAAAGGGAGCUUCAUCUGUGACUAGGACACAAGGUAAGAAUUUAUUUUUAUCGGGCCUUUAAUGAAUUAAUAAUGAAAGGCUGUUUCAUCCCACUGUGUCUAAGUAGCACAUUCCUUUCAUGUGUGACAUAGAAUUUAAUAUGAUUCAUGACUUAAAAGAGCAUAACUAUAAACAAACAUUUUAAUAUGAACAUUUAGAAUUUUAAUUUAAAUACUAAACAUAUAUUCAUGUUAUUUCCGAUGUUUGAUGCAGAUAAUGUUUUUGCUAGUAGAUUAUAUUCUCACCUGUUGACAAUAUAUAUUAUCUAAAACCAAAGCAAAGGCUGGAAUA